rnacentral:guide_RNA from 1 species
ACUGAAGAGGGUAUAGUCCCUCGAAACUAGUAUAU